AACGAACGCUGGCGGCGCGCCUAAUACAUGCAAGUCGAGCGAGAAGACGUAGCAAUACGUUUGUAAAGCGGCGAACGGGUGAGGAAUACAUGGGUAACCUACCCUCGAGUGGGGAAUAACUAGCCGAAAGGUUAGCUAAUACCGCGUACGCUCCUUGGACUUCGGUUCAGGGAGGAAAGCGAUACCGUGGGUAUCGCGCUCUUGGAUGGGCUCAUGUCCUAUCAGCUUGNGGUGAGGUAACGGCUCACCAAGGCUUCGACGGGUAGCUGGUCUGAGAGGACGAUCAGCCACACUGGCACUGCGACACGGGCCAGACUCCUACGGGAGGCAGCAGUAAGGAAUUAUUGCGCAAGUGGGACGAAAGCCUGACGCAGCGACCGCC
rnacentral:rRNA from 1 species